rnacentral:rRNA from 1 species
AGUGGGGAAUCUUGGACAAUGGGCGCAAGCCUGAUCCAGCCAUGCCGCGUGAGUGAUGAAGGCCCUAGGGUCGUAAAGCUCUUUCGCCAGAGAUGAUAAUGACAGUAUCUGGUAAAGAAACCCCGGCUAACUCCGUGCCAGCAGCCGCGGUAAUACGGAGGGGGUUAGCGUUGUUCGGAAUUACUGGGCGUAAAGCGCGCGUAGGCGGACUGGAAAGUUGGGGGUGAAAUCCCGGGGCUCAACCCCGGAACUGCCUCCAAAACUAUCAGUCUAGAGUUCGAGAGAGGUGAGUGGAAUUCCGAGUGUAGAGGUGAAAUUCGUAGAUAUUCGGAGGAACACCAGUGGCGAAGGCGGCUCACUGGCUCGAUACUGACGCUGAGGUGCGAAAGUGUGGGGAGCAAA